rnacentral:rRNA from 1 species
AUUGAACGCUGGCGGCAUGCUUUACACAUGCAAGUCGAACGGUAACAGGCCGCAAGGUGCUGACGAGCGGCGAACGGGUGAGUAAUGCAUCGGAACGUGCCCAGUCGUGGGGGAUAACGCAGCGAAAGCUGCGCUAAUACCGCAUACGAUCUCUGGAUGAAAGCGGGGGACCGAAAGGCCUCGCGCGAUUGGAGCGGCCGAUGUCAGAUUAGGUAGUUGGUGGGGUAAAGGCCCACCAAGCCAACGAUCUGUAGCUGGUCUGAGAGGACGACCAGCCACACUGGGACUGAGAAACGGCCCAGACUCCUACGGGGGGCAGCAGUGGGGAAUUUUGGACAAUGGGCGCAAGCCUGAUCCAGCAAUGCCGCGUGCAGGAAGAAGGCCUUCGGGUUGUAAACUGCUUUUGUACGGAACGAAACGGUCCGGGUUAAUACCCUGGGCUAAUGACGGUACCGUAAGAAUAAGCACCGGCUAACUACGUGCCAGCAGCCGCAGUAAUAC